UACGGGGGGUGCAAGCGUACUUCGGAAUUAUUGGGCGUAAAGGGCGCGUAGGCGGUUGAAUAAGUCAGAUGUGAAAGCCAUUGGCUUAACCAAGGAAGUACAUUUGAUACUAUUUGACUUGAGUAUGGGAGAGGGAAGUGGAAUUCCUGGUGUAGAGGUGAAAUUCGUAGAUAUCAGGAGGAACACCGGUGGCGAAAGCGACUUCCUGGACCAAUACUGACGCUGAGGCGCGAAGGCGUGGUGAGCAAACAGG
rnacentral:rRNA from 1 species